rnacentral:rRNA from 1 species
GACCUGGUCGAGUGGUCCGCCUAACGGUGUGUACUGCUUGACUGGGCCUUACCUCUUGGUGAGCCGGCGUGCCCUUUAUUGGUGUGCGUCGGGGAACCAGGACUUUUACCUUGAGAAAAUUAGAGUGUUCAAAGCAGGCGCCUAGCGCCCGGAUACAUUAGCAUGGGAUAAUAGAAUAGGACGGCGGUUCUAUUUUGUUGGUUACCUAGGAUCGCAGUA